rnacentral:sRNA from 1 species
GAGCUCUUUUUAAAAAAGGACACGGCGAC